CCAACUGCAACUCUGCACCUCAGACAGACCCAUGGCACUAAUGAUAAACUAUGCUUUAUGGUAGUUGAUAGGAACUUUGACUGUUACAUUAAUGAAAAAUGUCAUAUAUGCACAAAAACUGUAGAUUUCUUUCUUCAUAUUACUGCAGUGUAUUUAAACCAUUUUUUGCUGCUCAACAUUGAUUUGCAUAUUAAGCAAGUCUCUGAAUGUAUUUCAUCUUAUCAAAAGUAAUCUUUGAAGAUGUUUAAAACGCUGAUAAUAUUCAAUUUGAUUGUUUAACUUACUAUGUGUGCAGAUACAGUACUGUACACAGCAGUAUUUUAGUGCUGGUUUUAAAUAGCUAAAGUGGAUGAUGAUUAACAUCAAUGUAAGCAUCUUCACAAUCACGUAACCAUGUUAUAGCUUUAUUUGACUUCUAUAUACAAGAAGUAGAAAAGGUUAUGGCAGGGUUUUAUGUAUCAUGACAUAAAACUCUCUUAUUGCUCUCUAUUUUAGACAAUUCAGUGAAGAAAUAAUGGUUAUCAGUAAGAAAAUAAGCUAUUAUCUGUGGUACAGAGGUUAUUACCUUUGCAGAAUGUACAGUAUGUAUUGUAUCUGAAAUAAAAAGUACUUUAACGUAA